GGGGCUAUGGGUCAGUGAUAGAGCGCCCGCCUGGCACGUGUGAGGCACUGAGUUCAAUCCUCAGCACCACA
rnacentral:tRNA from 1 species